rnacentral:lncRNA from 1 species
UAAAAAUAAAAUUAGAUGAGAAAGAAGCCAUUUUAAUUCUAAAAUUAAAUGAUUCGAGUGGCGUUCGUAGAUUCGGACGUGGGCGUAGCGUUCGUGGAUUCGAACGUGGGGCGUGGACAGCCCGGUGACGUGCGCGAGAUCCAUAGGAGGUUAAGAGAUGUUAAGUCUAUAGAGUCGGUAAUCACCUUGUAAUCUUUUCUCUUAGUGGAUUAUUUUUUCGCGUGUUGGUCCCGUGGGUUUUUCUCCAAAUUGGAGUUUUCCCACGUAAAUCUCGGUGUGCUUUUUUAUUUUCCGCAUUUACUUUUAUCGCAUUGAGAUUUGUGGUUUUGGGCUUUACACCUAUUCAACCCCCUCUAGGUGUUUGAUAGUAUCUAGAUAGAUUCUAGAAUUUCCAUAACCUACACGGUUUUGCAAAACUGAUCUCCGUAACUCGUCGAAUGUCCCGAAAAUCACACCGGGAUGCCGCCGGGACCCACGAAGUGACCCGAAAUGUACUGACUCGUGUCACGAGUCACCCACUGCCUCGAAGC